rnacentral:rRNA from 1 species
AUUGAACGCUGGCGGCAGGCCUAACACAUGCAAGUCGAGCGAGCGGCGGACGGGUGAGUAAUGUCUGGGAAACUGCCUGAUGGAGGGGGAUAACUACUGUAAACGGUAGCUAAUACCGCAUACCAUCAGAUGUGCCCAGAUGGGAUUAGGUAGUAGGUGGGGGAACGGCUCACCUAGGCGACGAUCCCUAGCUGGUCUGAGAGGAUGACCAGCCAGACUGGAACUGCGACACUGUCCAGACUCCUACGGGAGGCAGCAGUGGGGAAUAUUGCACAAGGUGCGGAAGCCUGAUGCAGCGACGCCGCGUGGGGGAUGAAGGCCUUCGUGUUGUAAACUCCUGUCGACAGGGACGCGGUACCUGGAUAAGAAGCACCGGCUAACUACGUGCCAGCAGCCGCGGUAAUAC